rnacentral:rRNA from 1 species
GACAGAGGGUGCAAACGUUGUUCGGAAUUACUGGGCGUAAAGCGCGUGUAGGCGGCAGGGCAUGUCGGAUGUGAAAUCCCGUGGCUCAACCACGGAAGUGCACCCGAAACUGCCCAGCUUGAGUCUCGGAGAGGAAGGCGGAAUGCUUGGUGUAGAGGUGAAAUUCGUAGAUAUCAAGCGGAACACCGGUGGCGAAGGCGGCAUCCUGGACCGGUAUUGACACUGAAAGGCGAAAGCCAGGGGAGCAAACGGG